AAUCGCGUGGAAUGUGGGAUCUACUGCUAGUCUUUUAGAUUCCCAGAGCACUACAUUCUGCCAAGCAGAAUACAACACUCUCCGAUAUUUUCCAGUAACAAGCAUCUGAAUUUAUUUAGACGGCUAAUCAGAUAUCAACUCUCUUCAACGUUAUCGUCCAUUUCGCUAUCUGUUGACUGCAGUCUUAACCAGCUUAGCAGUUUGCAGCUUACCUCAUAUAGGUACGUAGCCAAAGGAGCAUCGAUGGCAAGUGCCGAAAAGAUGAACUGGAAAGGCUGGGAACUUCCGACAGAAUUGGUCAGCUCGUUGUAGAUUAUGCUCCACGGAGCUAUACUGGCUAUCAGACCAAUGCUGGUCUAAAUGAGCUUAUCGUCUGUUACUCUUGCUUAGCAACUUUUAUCAGCGUUAGUAAGGGGCUAAUAGAAAAAAAAGUUCUGCGGCAUAGAUUGCACAGCUUGCGACGCGUAUGACCAGAUCCCGCAAGGAGUUCAUUAAAUGGAGCC